rnacentral:rRNA from 1 species
UUGCUAAUACCUCAUAACUGUGGGACCCGCAUGAGACCCACACUAAAGNUUUAUUGUGCAGAGAUGAGCUUGCGUCCGAUUUAGAUAGUAGGCGGGGUAACGGCCCACCUAGUCGACGAUAGCUAUCCGGCCUGAGAGGGUGAACGGCCACAUUGGGACUGAGACACGGCCCAAACUCCUACGGGAGGCAGCAGUGGGGAAUAUUGCACAAUGGGGGAAACCCUGAUGCAGCGACGCCGCGUGAGUGAAGAAGUAUUUCGGUAUGUAAAGCUCUAUCAGCAGGGAAGAAAAUGACGGUACCUGACUAAGAAGCCCCGGCUAACUACGUG